UACAGAGGUCUCAAGCGUUGUUCGGAUUCAUUGGGCGUAAAGGGUGCGUAGGCGGCGCGGUAAGUCGGGUGUGAAAUCUCGGAGCUUAACUCCGAAACUGCAUUCGAUACUGCCGUGCUUGAGGACUGUAGAGGAGGCUGGAAUUUACGGUGUAGCGGUGAAAUGCGUAGAUAUCGUAAGGAAGACCAGUGGCGAAGGCGGGUCUCUGGACAGUUCCUGACGCUGAGGCACGAAGGUCAGGGGAGCAAACGGG
rnacentral:rRNA from 1 species